UGUGUCUUAAGCACAAACAAAGGAAGAAACACAGAUGUGUCACUUGGUUCAUUAGCUAACACAUCUGGUUGCUUAUGUUCUCUGAGGCGAUUCUAAGUAGUUGAAAUGUCUUCAGUACUUUGUUUCUUAAAUUCAUAGCCUCCAGGUGCCUUGUGUUCUCAUAGAUAAUCUAGUGAGAAUCUGUGCUGGAAAGUAAUUCCUCACUGUGAGCUUUGACUUUCUGUCUUCCAGGAGAGUGACAUUAAUCCUGAUGACCUGAGUGAAGCUCUCUUGCUUAUAAAGUCUCAGAAAGAACAAAAAAAUGGAGACCUUUCAUUUUUAGAAAAAGUGGACAGCAAAAUUAAUAAAGAUCUAGAACAUUCCAUAAAAGAGCUUCAAGCAACUCAUGCAGAAACAGUACAAGAACUUGAAAAGACAAGAAAUAUGCUAAUUAUGCAACAUAAAAUCAAUAAAGACUAUCAGGUAUUGUCAGACACUAAAUUGAGACGGUAUAAUUUCUGUGAUACUCUACUGAUGAUUGUCUUUUCAAAGCAGCUUUUUGUAUUUAUCUUCUUUUAUUAUCUAUUGUCACCUAUUAUUAAAUAUUAAUACAUUCCUGGAAUUUAGCCCUAUAACUAGAGAGUGAGGAUAAAUAGUUUAAAAACAG
rnacentral:lncRNA from 1 species